rnacentral:rRNA from 1 species
UACGGGGGGAGCAAGCGUUGUUCGGAUUUACUGGGCGUAAAGGGCGCGUAGGCGGCCCAGCACAAGUCAGUUGUGAAAUCUCCGAGCUUAACUCGGAACGGUCAACUGAUACUGUGCGGCUAGAGUGCAGAAGGGGCAACUGGAAUUCUUGGUGUAGCGGUGAAAUGCGUAGAUAUCAAGAGGAACACCUGCGGCGAAGGCGGGUUGCUGGGCUGACACUGACGCUGAGGCGCGAAAGCUAGGGGAGCAAACAGG